rnacentral:lncRNA from 1 species
GUUUUGGAAUAAAAAUAAAAGAGCAAUAACUGUAAAGCAGUGUUCAUUUGGGCCUUAUUUAUUCCACUAUUUAAAAUUACAGAUUAUAUUAUUCUUCAUCCAACCAUAUCUUAAAGAGUCCAAAAACUGUUGCAUAUUAAGUUCAUUAAUUUUUUUUAAUUCACUUAUGCUUUUUAUAAAAUUUUCACCUUAGAUUUUAAUAUAUAUGUUUUAAUGGGAAUAAACUUUUUCUUUUUUUUUACAAUUGUUUCUCUCAAAAUUUCAACAAACCGAAA